CCAGAACAUGUGUAGCAUGGUACCCGCUCCCCCCUCACAGCGCCAGCAGAGCUCGGAUGAACCCUUGUAAAUUUUUGCCAGUCUAUGUGGGACCAGGUACCAUCUUAUGGCUAUUUUGCAGUAUGCUUCCCACAGCGAGAGGCUCUUGGAUGCGCUCUUUGUGUUGGAUAGUGCCUCGUACCAUUGUGCCAGAGUCAAUUGGUGGCCUAGCUCUCCCUCCCAUUGUUUCAUAUAGGAUCUUUCCUCACACAAUUGGGCCUCCAGAAGGGCAUUGUAACACAGGGACAGAGGUUUCCCAAGCUUAGUGGUGAGGACCCGAUUGAG